rnacentral:pre_miRNA from 1 species
AGUGGGAUAGCUGGGUCAAAUGGUGGUUCCAUUCCAAGUUUACUGAGGAAUCUCUGUACUGCUUUCCAGAAAGGUUGCACCAGUUUGCAUUCCCAUCAGCAAU